rnacentral:rRNA from 1 species
AUUGAACGCUGGCGGCAUGCCUUACACAUGCAAGUCGAACGGCAGCACGGGAGCAAUCCUGGUGGCGAGUGGCGAACGGGUGAGUAAUAUAUCGGAACGUGCCCAGUCGUGGGGGAUAACGUAGCGAAAGCUACGCUAAUACCGCAUACGAUCUAUGGAUGAAAGCGGGGGAUCGCAAGACCUCGCGCGAUUGGAGCGGCCGAUAUCAGAUUAGGUAGUUGGUGAGGUAAAGGCUCACCAAGCCGACGAUCUGUAGCUGGUCUGAGAGGACGACCAGCCACACUGGAACUGAGACACGGUCCAGACUCCUACGGGAGGCAGCAGUGGGGAAUUUUGGACAAUGGGCGCAAGCCUGAUCCAGCAAUGCCGCGUGCAGGAUGAAGGCCUUCGGGUUGUAAACUGCUUUUGUACGGAACGAAACGGUUCUCUUUAAUACAGGGGGCUAAUGACGGUACCGUAAGAAUAAGCACCGGCUAACUACGUGCCAGCAGCCGCGGUAAUACGUAGGGUGCGAGCGUUAAUCGGAAUUACUGGGCGUAAAGCGUGCGCAGGCGGUUAUAUAAGACAGAUGUGAAAUCCCUGGGCUCAACCUAGGACCUGCAUUUGUGACUGUAUAGCUAGAGUACGGUAGAGGGGGAUGGAAUUCCGCGUGUAGCAGUGAAAUGCGUAGAUAUGCGGAGGAACACCGAUGGCGAAGGCAAUCCCCUGGACCUGUACUGACGCUCAUGCACGAAAGCGUGGGGAGCAAACAGGAUUAGAUACCCUGGUAGUCCACGCCCUAAACGAUGUCAACUGGUUGUUGGGUCUUCACUGACUCAGUAACGAAGCUAACGCGUGAAGUUGACCGCCUGGGGAGUACGGCCGCAAGGUUG